rnacentral:sRNA from 1 species
UUCUACCCAUGUGGGGAAGGAUGAGAAGCUUCGACUAAGGUUCGAUUCGAGCGCAGCGAGAAAGCGUUGCCGCAGGCAACGACCCGAAGGGCGAAGCGCGCAGCGCUGAGUCAUCCUUCCCCCACCACCA